rnacentral:lncRNA from 1 species
CCCGUGGGCCUCUGCGAGAUGGUAUUUAUGUGUUUCGCGGUAGGCCUGCGGUCUCAUUUAUCCACAGCUCUCGGGUUCGGACGCGCGCCAAACGCUGAAGGAUCGCAAACCGGUCUCAUUGGAAUGUGGUUUAAUUCAAAGGAGCUUACAGAUUGGAGGAUGAGACAAGACUUAUUCCUGUGUGGAUCAAGUGUGGUGAUCCUGCAGCAUCUCCUCACCAGUCUUGAGGAAUUCAACUGCCUCCCAGGCUGA